rnacentral:rRNA from 1 species
UUGGAGGGCAAGUCUGGUGCCAGCAGCCGCGGUAAUUCCAGCUCCAAUAGCGUAUAUUAAAGUUGUUGCAGUUAAAAAGCUCGUAGUUGAACUUCGGGGUUUACCCAUUGGUCAGGCUUAAUUGUCUGUACUGGUGAGAUAAAUCUCUACCUUCUGAGGAACUUUUAUGCCAUUUAUUUGGUGUGAUGGGAAAUCAGGACUAUUACUUUGAAAAAAUUAGAGUGUUUAAAGCAGGCUAACGUCUGAAUACAUUAGCAUGGAAUAAUGAAAUAGGACGGAUUGAUUCUAUUUCGUUGGUUUCUAGGAUCACCGUAAUGAUUAAUAGGGAUAGUUGGGGGCAUUAGUAUUCAAUUGUCAGAGGUGAAAUUCUUGGAUUUAUUGAAGACUAACUACUGCGAAAGCAUUUGCCAAGGAUGUUUUCAUUAAUCAAGAACGAAAGUUAGGGGAUCGAAGACGAUCAGAUACCGUCGUAGUCUUAACCAUAAACUAUGCCGACUAGGGAUCGGACGCAGUUAAUUUUAUAAUGACGCGUUCGGCACCUUACGGGAAAC